GAUGAAGAACGUAGCGAAAUGCGAUAAGUAAUGUGAAUUGCAGAAUUCAGUGAAUCAUCGAAUCUUUGAACGCACAUUGCGCCCUUUGGUAUUCCAAAGGGCAUGCCUGUUCGAGCGUCAUUUGUACCCUCAAGCUUUGCUUGGUGUUGGGCGUCUUGUCUCCAGUCCGCUGGAGACUCGCCUUAAAGUCAUUGGCAGCCGGCCUACUGGUUUCGGAGCGCAGCACAAGUCGCACUCUUUUCCAGCCAAGGUCAGUGUCCAACAAGCCUUUUUUCAACUUUUGACCUCGGAUCAGGUAGGGAUACCCGCUGAACUUAAGCAUAUCAAUAAGCGGAGGA
rnacentral:misc_RNA from 1 species